GUCGUCAGUCUGUGGAGGUGACCAUGGAGGUUUUAACAGACAUGAACAGACCUGAUCUGAUGCUGAGGCUGUCAGAGAGCAGCUCAGGACGAAAAACUGAAAGAAGUUCAGAGCUUGAAGGUUGUCAGAGCAUGACGCAGGACUCCAGUGAUUGGACUAAACUUGAACCUGAGGUGAACAGUACAGAUGCAGACGAGGCUCCAACUUACAGCCUUCAGUCUGCAGCAGGACACUGAAUGCAGAGUC